UGUGAACUCGAAGAGUAGGGCGGGACACGUGGUAUCCUGUCUGAAUAUGGGGGGACCAUCCUCCAAGGCUAAAUACUCCUGACUGACCGAUAGUGAACCAGUACCGUGAGGGAAAGGCGAAAAGAACCCCGGCGAGGGGAGUGAAAAAGAACCUGAAACCGUGUACGUACAAGCAGUGGGAGCACCUUCGGGUGUGACUGCGUACCUUUUGUAUAAUGGGUCAGCGACUUAUAUUCUGUAGCAAGGUUAACCGUAUAGGGGAGCCGCAGGGAAACCGAGUCUUAACUGGGCGUUAAGUUGCAGGGUAUAGACCCGAAACCCGGUGAUCUAGCCAUGGGCAGGUUGAAGGUUGGGUAACACUAACUGGAGGACCGAACCGACUAAUGUUGAAAAAUUAGCGGAUGACUUGUGGCUGGGGGUGAAAGGCCAAUCAAACCGGGAGAUAGCUGGUUCUCCCCGAAAGCUAUUUAGGUAGCGCCUCGUGAAUUCAUCUUCGGGGGUAGAGCACUGUUUCGGCUAGGGGGUCAUCCCGACUUACCAACCCGAUGCAAACUACGAAUACCGAAGAAUGUUAUCACGGGAGACACACGGCGGGUGCUAACGUCCGUCGUGAAGAGGGAAACAACCCAGACCGCCAGCUAAGGUCCCAAAGUCAUGGUUAAGUGGGAAACGAUGUGGGAAGGCACAGACAGCCAGGAUGUUGGCUUAGAAGCAGCCAUCAUUUAAAGAAAGCGUAAUAGCUCACUGGUCGAGUCGGCCUGCGCGGAAGAUGUAACGGGGCUAAACCAUGCACCGAAGCUGCGGCAGCGACACUAUGUGUUGUUGGGUAGGGGAGCGUUCUGUAAGCCUGCGAAGGUGACCUGUGAGGGUUGCUGGAGGUAUCAGAAGUGCGAAUGCUGACAUAAGUAACGAUAAAGCGGGUGAAAAGCCCGCUCGCCGGAAGACCAAGGGUUCCUGUCCAACGUUAAUCGGGGCAGGGUGAGUCGACCCCUAAGGCGAGGCCGAAAGGCGUAGUCGAUGGGAAACAGGUUAAUAUUCCUGUACUUGGUGUUACUGCGAAGGGGGGACGGAGAAGGCUAUGUUAGCCGGGCGACGGUUGUCCCGGUUUAAGCAUGUAGGCUGGUUGUCCAGGCAAAUCCGGAUAAUCAAGGCUGAGGUGUGAUGACGAGGCACUACGGUGCUGAAGUAACAAAUGCCCUGCUUCCAGGAAAAGCCUCUAAGCAUCAGGUAACAUCAAAUCGUACCCCAAACCGACACAGGUGGUCAGGUAGAGAAUACCAAGGCGCUUGAGAGAACUCGGGUGAAGGAACUAGGCAAAAUGGUGCCGUAACUUCGGGAGAAGGCACGCUGGUGUGUAGGUGAAGUCCCUGCGGAUGGAGCUGAGACCAGUCGAAGAUACCAGCUGGCUGCAACUGUUUAUUAAAAACACAGCACUGUGCAAACACGAAAGUGGACGUAUACGGUGUGACGCCUGCCCGGUGCCGGAAGGUUAAUUGAUGGGGUUAUCCGUAAGGAGAAGCUCUUGAUCGAAGCCCCGGUAAACGGCGGCCGUAACUAUAACGGUCCUAAGGUAGCGAAAUUCCUUGUCGGGUAAGUUCCGACCUGCACGAAUGGCGUAAUGAUGGCCAGGCUGUCUCCACCCGAGACUCAGUGAAAUUGAACUCGCUGUGAAGAUGCAGUGUACCCGCGGCAAGACGGAAAGACCCCGUGAACCUUUACUAUAGCUUGACACUGAACAUUGAGCCUUGAUGUGUAGGAUAGGUGGGAGGCUUUGAAGCGUGGACGCCAGUCUGCGUGGAGCCAACCUUGAAAUACCACCCUUUAAUGUUUGAUGUUCUAACGUUGGCCCCUUACCGGGGUUGCGGACAGUGUCUGGUGGGUAGUUUGACUGGGGCGGUCUCCUCCCAAAGCGUAACGGAGGAGCACGAAGG
rnacentral:rRNA from 1 species